GAAAAUAAUAUUCACAUUUUACGAAGUAUAGAACAUAUCUUCCAUUUCUGCACGUCGGAGCCAUUAAAAAUAUGCCUUUUUCAUUAAGCGAAAAAAGGAGACGAUCUUUUUCAACUGCAUUUCAAGUCAAUUUGAGCCGCAUGACCCUAUAUAUUUUUUUGGUUGUAAUGCAACACUGGCAUUUCUAGUAACAGGAACUGCUACCCGUUUUCCCUAGUUUGUGUAGUCUUCGAGAAAAAAAAUACGGAACACUAGUGGUACCCUAUGGAAAAUGAAUUACGAAUAAUUGCGCUCUUGUAACCUA
rnacentral:lncRNA from 1 species